GGAGGGUGCAAGCGUUAUCCGGAUUCACUGGGUUUAAAGGGAGCGUAGGAGGGCAGGUAAGUCAGUGGUGAAAUCUUCGAGCUUAACUCGGAAACUGCCGUUGAUACUAUCUGUCUUGAAUCCCGUGGAGAUGAGCGGAAUAUGUCAUGUAGCGGUGAAAUGCUUAGAUAUGACAUAGAACACCAAUUGCGAAGGCAGCUCGUUACACGAAGAUUGACUCUGAGGCUCGAAAGCGUGGGGAUCAAACAGGAUUAGAUACCCUGGUAGUCCACGCCCUAAACGAUGGAUACUCGACAUACGCGAUACACUGUGUGUGUCUGAGCGAAAGCAUUAAGUAUCCCACCUGGGAAGUACGACCGCAAGGUUGAA
rnacentral:rRNA from 1 species